GUGGACAUAACUCUACAGAUAGCAGGUCCAGAAAACACUUCUACUGAAACAUAUAAAGUGUCCACAAGAUGGCAACAUGUCUGGUGAAAGACCCGCACAUAGUGCAUCAACUCAUGUAACAACAUGCCCCCAAAGAAUUUGGAAUAUGAGUCGCGUUUUCCUAGUGGCUUGUUUCUGCGUUUUCUUUUGAUUUCCCAUCACGAUCCAGUGUUUAAGAAAGGUGAACGGAGUUGAAUAGUUGUAACGUGUGAUGUUCUUGUCCUAUAAUGGGACAGCAUAACAUAGGUUAGGGAUUAAUUCAAUGGAACAACUGUUCAUUCCUCGACAGAUUAUCAUCUUUAGGUUCUCUGGGUAGGCAAAGUGAAAGGGGGGCGUGCCGAACGGUUUCGCCCGGUAAUAAUACACGGGACACGGGUACUUUGAGGACUGGCUUCACGGAGAUCCACGCAUACUGUGUUCCCGGGUGUUGUGACAGACCUGAAAAAGCAGAUCCGUAUGGUUUUGAUGUCAUGAAGGAGCAUGAGGACGACCCGGAGAUGUUAUUUGACCUGCAGCAGCCUGGCCAAGUCCUACGCCUCCACGCCCGAGCUACGCAAGGCCUGGCUGGACAACAUGCCAUGCAUCACAGCAAGAACCACAGACCUACCUGAGGUAGGCUUCAUACAGCUAACUCUGACCCCUGACCUGAGGUAGGCUUCAUACAGCUAACCCUGACCCCUGACCUGAGUUAGGUGUCAUACAGCUAACCCUGACCCCUGACCUGAGGUAGGCUUCAUACAGCUAACCCUGACCCCUGACCUGAGUUAGGCGUCAUACAGCUAACCCUGACCCCUGACCUGAGGUAGACUUCAUACAGCUAACCCUGACCCUUGACCUGAGGUUGGCUUCAUACAGCUAACCUUGACCCCUGACCUGAGGUAGGCUUCAUACAGCUAACCCUGACCCCUGACCUGAGGUAGGCUUCAUACAGCUAACCCUGACUACUGACCUGAGUUAGGCGUCAUACAACUAACCUUGACCCCUGACCUGAGGUAGGCUUCAUACAGCUAACCCUGACCCCUGACCUGAGUUAGGCGUCAUACAGCUAACCCUGACCCCUGACCUGAGGUAGGCUUCAUACAGCUAACCUUGACCCCUGACCUGAGGUAGGCUUCAUACAGCUAACCUUGACCCCUGACCUGAGGUAGGCGUCAUACAGCUAACCUUGACCCCUGAC
rnacentral:lncRNA from 1 species